GGGGGGGGGGGGGGGCGGGGUGGGCGCGUGCGAGUCGGACGGAAAGGCCCUGCUGUUGUGGGGUGCUCGAGUGGCGAACGGGUGAGUCACCCGUUAGUAACCUGCCCUUGACUUUGGGAUCACUUCAGGAAACUGGGGCUAAUACCGGAUCUGCGCUCCUGCUGCAUGGUGGUGGUUGUACAGUUUCCGCGGUUGGGGAUGGACUCGCGGGUUAUCAGCUUGUUGGUGGGGUAGUGGCUUCCCAAUGCUUUGACGGGUAGCCGGCCUGCGAGGGUGACCGGCCACAUUGGGACUGAGAUACGGCCCAGACUCCUACGGGAGGCAGCAGUGGGGAAUAUUGCACAAUGGGCGGAAGCCUGAUGCAGCAACGCCGCGUGCGGGAUGACGGCCUUCGGGUUGUAAACCGCCUUCGCCUGUGACGAAGCGUGAGUGACGGUAAUGGGUAAAGAAGCACCGGCUAACUACGUG
rnacentral:rRNA from 1 species